UACACGCUGUGACUAGCAUAUCAAUAAGCGGAGGAAAAGUAAAUGCUGUAUACCUACGCUUAGGAUGUUGAGGCGCGUGUGUGCGUGAGUCUAUACAUGACUCUGUGCAUAUCAAUAAGCGGAGGAAAAGAAACUAACAAGGAUUCCCCUAGUAACGGCGAGUGAAGCGGGAAGAGCUCAAAUUUGAAAUCUUAAAGGGUUUCCCUUUACGAAUUGUAGUUUAAAGAAGUGUUUUCUGUUGAGGUUUUGGUAAAAGUUCUUUGGAAUAGGACAUCAUAGAGGGUGAGAAUCCCGUAUUUGACCUUUACUUUCAACUUUGUGAUACACUUUCAAAGAGUCGGAUUGUUUGGGAAUGCAGUCCAGAAUGGGUGGUAAAUUUCAUCUAAAGCUAAAUAUUGGCGAGAGACCGAUAGCGAACAAGUACCGUGAGGGAAAGAUGAAAAGAACUUUGAAAAGAGAGUUAAACAGUACGUGAAAUUGUCAAAAGGGAAGCGUUUGACACCAGUGUUGUUUUUUCUGAAAAUCAAUUAAAGAACUGUUUAUGCUAAGUUGUUUAGACUUUAUCAGCUAACUGUUUAGUUUUGAGCUUUUCUUUAAUGCACUUUUCAGUUAACAAGUCAACAUCAAUUUCUUUUGCUGUAAAAAAGCUUGAGGAAGGUGGCUUGAGAUUCGUCUUAAGUGUUUAUAGCCUCUUGCCUAUGCAGUCGGAGAGAUUGAGGUCUGCAGCGUAGAUCCUUCGGGGCUAAAUGCAUUUGUGCUAAGUUAUAGCAUUUUAUAGACAACUUGUUGACUAUGAUUUGUCUUGUAGCUUACUCGCUUAUGUUAUUUUACCUACGCUUAGGAUGUUGAAGAUGUAGCACAUCAU
rnacentral:rRNA from 1 species